GCCUACGGGGGGCAGCAGUGAGGAAUAUUGGUCAAUGGGCGCGAGCCUGAACCAGCCAAGUAGCGUGAAGGAUGACUGCCCUACGGGUUGUAAACUUCUUUUAUAAAGGAAUAAAGUGAGGCACGUGUGCCUUUUUGUAUGUACUUUAUGAAUAAGGAUCGGCUAACUCCGUGCCAGCAGCCGCGGUAAUACGGAGGAUGCGAGCGUUAUCCGGAUUUAUUGGGUUUAAAGGGUGCGUAGGCGGAUCGUUAAGUCAGUGGUCAAAUUGAGGGGCUCAACCCCUUCCCGCCAUUGAAACUGGCGUU
rnacentral:rRNA from 1 species